rnacentral:lncRNA from 1 species
UCCCUGGUGCUUGCUCUCAGGCCUUAGUUGUUAAUCGUGUUCCAUGAAAGAAACAGUGCACGCUGACCCUCGACACUGAGGAGCACGAUUCACUUCGACAGUUAGAACCCUAGCAACUUCUGCAACCUUGAGAGUUCAAGGACUGCAACAAAGACAAUCAGUGGAGAACCAUCGCGCCUGCAGUUUUCUCGGGAGAAUUGAACUGCAUGUGAUUGGACAGCAAGAGAGUGGGCAAGCCAGGGACAGCCACCACAGUUAAAGUACUGUGGGCCAUGCCUUCAUGCCCCCCUCACUCAUGGAAUUUUUCUGGACUGAGCCAGAGUCUGGAGAGGUGGUGCAGCUGUUCCCUAAGUGAGUGGGGUUCCCCUACCUUUCACUCAGGGAAUGUUUAAUGUUUUCCUUUUACAAUUUCCUUCUUCAGCUUCCCUCUCUCCUAAUGAUGAAUCCUGUAAACUUUUGCUUUGCCUAUGUUCUGCUGGAAACCAUGUUACUGUGUACUUUGAAGACAUUACUCCGUAGCAGGAGGCAGGGUGGGAGGUGCUCUGGGGAAUGACAGCAGGCCUUGGCUGGGGGAAACUGACACCAGCUGGAGGAGACAGCCCCAGGCAGGGAAUCCAGCAGCAGAGAGCUCACCCCAAAGUGAUGAAGGUUGCGUGGAGCUUGCAGGCUGCUGGGGGGAGGAAUGUGGUCAC